CCUACGGGGGGCAGCAGUGGGGAAUAUUGGACAAUGGGGGGAACCCUGAUCCAGCCAUGCCGCGUGUGUGAAUAAGGCCCUCGGGUUGUAAAGCACUUUCAGUGAGGAAGAACGCCUGGUGGUUAAUACCCAUCAGGAAAGACAUCACUCACAGAAGAAGCACCGGCUAACUCCGUGCCAGCAGCCGCGGUAAUACGGAGGGUGCGAGCGUUAAUCGGAAUUACUGGGCGUAAAGCGCGCGUAGGUGGCUUGAUAAGCCGGUUGUGAAAGCCCCGGGCUCAACCUGGGAACGGCAUCCGGAACUGUCAAGCUAGAGUGCAGGAGAGGAAGGUAGAAUUCCCGGUGUAGCGGUGAAAUGCGUAGAGAUCGGGAGGAAUACCAGUGGCGAAGGCGGCCUUCUGGACUGACACUGACACUGAGGUGCGAAAGCGUGGGUAGCAAACAGGAUUAGAUACCCUAGUAGUC
rnacentral:rRNA from 1 species